AUUGAACGCUGGCGGCAUGCCUUACACAUGCAAGUCGAACGGUAACGCGGGGCAACCUGGCGACGAGUGGCGAACGGGUGAGUAAUAUAUCGGAACGUGCCCAGUAGUGGGGGAUAGCCCGGCGAAAGCCGGAUUAAUACCGCAUACGACCUGAGGGUGAAAGCGGGGGAUCGCAAGACCUCGCGCUAUUGGAGCGGCCGAUAUCAGAUUAGCUAGUUGGUGGGGUAAAAGCCUACCAAGGCGACGAUCUGUAGCUGGUCUGAGAGGACGACCAGCCACACUGGGACUGAGACACGGCCCAGACUCCUACGGGAGGCAGCAGUGGGGAAUUUUGGACAAUGGGCGCAAACCUGAUCCAGCCAUGCCGCGUGCGGGAAGAAGGCCUUCGGGUUGUAAACCGCUUUUGUCAGGGAAGAAACGCGCUGAGCUAAUACCUCGGCGUAAUGACGGUACCUGAAGAAUAAGCACCGGCUAACUACGUGCCAGCCGCCGCGGUAA
rnacentral:rRNA from 1 species